AGAGUUUGAUCAUGGCUCAGGACGAACGCUGGCGGCGUGCUUAACACAUGCAAGUCGAACGAUGAACUCCAGCUUGCUGGGGGGAUUAGUGGCGAACGGGUGAGUAACACGUGAGUAACCUGCCCUUGACUCUGGGAUAACUCCGGGAAACCGGGGCUAAUACUGGAUAUGAGACGUGGCCGCAUGGUCGGCGUCUGGAAAGUUUUUCGGUCAAGGAUGGACUCGCGGCCUAUCAGCUUGUUGGUGAGGUAAUGGCUCACCAAGGCGUCGACGGGUAGCCGGCCUGAGAGGGCGACCGGCCACACUGGGACUGAGACACGGCCCAGACUCCUACGGGAGGCAGCAGUGGGGAAUAUUGCACAAUGGGCGAAAGCCUGAUGCAGCGACGCCGCGUGAGGGAUGAAGGCCUUCGGGUUGUAAACCUCUUUCAGUAGGGAAGAAGCGAAAGUGACGGUACCUGCAGAAGAAGCGCCGGCUAACUACGUGCCAGCAGCCGCGGUAAUACGUAGGGCGCAAGCGUUGUCCGGAAUUAUUGGGCGUAAAGAGCUCGUAGGCGGUUUGUCGCGUCUGGUGUGAAAACUCAAGGCUCAACCUUGAGCUUGCAUUGGGUACGGGCAGACUAGAGUGUGGUAGGGGUGACUGGAAUUCCUGGUGUAGCGGUGGAAUGCGCGAUAUCAGGAGGAACACCGAUGGCGAAGGCAGGUCACUGGGCCACUACUGACGCUGAGGAGCGAAAGCAUGGGGAGCGAACAGGAUUAGAUACCCUAGUAGUCC
rnacentral:rRNA from 1 species